UACAGAGGGUGCGAGCGUUGUCCGGAAUCACUGGGCGUAAAGGGCGCGUAGGCGGCCUGAUAAGUAGGGGGUGAAAUCCUGUGGCUUAACUGCAGGGCUGCCUCCUAGACUGUUAGGCUCGAGCACGGUAGAGGCAGAUGGAAUUCCCGGUGUAGCGGUGGAAUGCGUAGAUAUCAGGAAGAACACCCGUGGCUAAGGCGGUUCUCUAGUACGGUACUGACGCUGAGACGCGAAAGCGUGGGGAGCGAACAGG
rnacentral:rRNA from 1 species